rnacentral:rRNA from 1 species
AACACAUGCAAGUCGAGCGGGCAUCUUCGGGUGUCAGCGGCAGACGGGUGAGUAACACGUGGGAACGUACCCUUCGGUUCGGAACAACUCUGGGAAACUGGAGCUAAUACCGGAUACGCCCUUAUGGGGAAAGGUUUACUGCCGAAGGAUCGGCCCGCGUCUGAUUAGCUAGUUGGUGGGGUAACGGCCUACCAAGGCGACGAUCAGUAGCUGGUCUGAGAGGAUGAUCAGCCACACUGGGACUGAGACACGGCCCAGACUCCUCGGGAGGCAGCAGUGGGGAAUAUUGGACAAUGGGCGCAAGCCUGAUCCAGCCAUGCCGCGUGAGUGAUGAAGGCCUUAGGGUUGUAAAGCUCUUUUGUCCGGGACG